rnacentral:rRNA from 1 species
AAUCAGGUGGGAUUACCCGCUGAACUUAAGCAUAUCAAUAAGCGGAGGAAAAGAAACUAACAAGGAUUCCCCUAGUAACGGCGAGUGAAGAGGGAAAAGCCCAAAUUUGUAAUCUGGCUCUUUUAGAGUCCGAGUUGUAAUUUUGAGAACUGUUUUCAGUGCUGGACCAUGUUUAAGUCUGUUGAAAAACAGCAUCAUUGAGGGUGAUAAUCCCGUUCAUGAUAUGGACUACCAGUACUUUAUGAUACAGUCUCUAAGAGUCGAGUUGUUUGGGAAUGCAGCUCAAAGUGGGUGGUAAAUUCCAUCUAAGGCUAAAUAUAGGUGAGAGACCGAUAGCAAACAAGUACCGUGAGGGAAAGAUGAAAAGAACUUUGGAAAGAGAGUUAACAGUACGUGAAAUUGCUGAAAGGGAAACAAUUGAAGUUAGCCUUGUUAUUGUCAGUUCAGCUCUUUUAGAGUGUAUUCUGAUGAUUAACGACCAACAUCAGUCUUUGAGUGCUGGAUAAGGGUUUUGGAAAUGUAGCAGUCUCGGCUGUGUUAUAGUCCAUUACUUUGAUACAGUGCUUGGGAUUGAGGAUCGCAGUAAGCCAUUUUAUGGUGGACCAAAUUUUUGGUCUUCUUACUGAGGAUGUUGGUGAAAUAGU